rnacentral:misc_RNA from 1 species
GCAAACUUGGUCAUUUAGAGGAAGUAAAAGUCGUAACAAGGUCUCCGUUGGUGAACCAGCGGAGGGAUCAUUACCGAGUUUCCAACUCACAACCCAUCGUGAACAUACCUAUGUUGCUUCGGCGGUCAAGGCUCCGGCCGGCGCCGCCGAAGGACCUCAAACUCUUGUUUUCCAAUGUGGUUAAUUCUGAGUAAAUCUUGAAAUAAAUCAAAACCUUCAACAACGGAUCUCUUGGCUCUGGCAUCGAUGAAGAACGCAGC